UACGGGGGGAGCAAGCGUUGUUCGGUUUUACUGGGCGUAAAGGGCUCGUAGGCGGCCAACUAAGUCAGACGUGAAAUCCCUCGGCUUAACCGGGGAACUGCGUCUGAUACUGGAUGGCUUGAGUUUGGGAGAGGGAUGCGGAAUUCCAGGUGUAGCGGUGGAAUGCGUAGAUAUCUGGAGGAACACCGGUGGCGAAGGCGGCAUCCUGGACCAACACUGACGCUGAGGAGCGAAAGCCAGGGGAGCAAACGGG
rnacentral:rRNA from 1 species